UAGCGCCUGGGAAACGGGUGGAAAACUGUCUAACAUCGAAAAUGGGAAAUCCAAGCAAGUUUUUGUUUUCGAUCUGUGCUAAUCUAGAAAUGAAGCGAUGCAUGGAAAUUGCCGAGCACCUUGGCACUGUGUCAUUGAGCUGUUGCCAAAGAUGCUUGGGCUAAAUGUCUUUUUUUUUUAUUGGCAUUCAUAUUUUACGUAGUUAAACAAUAAAUUGCAACAAAAUGUAUAAUAAUAGUUGGCCAUUCGUUGGCAAUAUUGAUGGCUAUUUCUUUUGUACAAAAGUUGGUCAAUUUGCAGGCGAAGAGAGAGAGAGAGAGAGAGACAGAUAGCUUUUCACUAAAUCUAAUAUAUAUGCAUAGAGUGUAUAAUUUGAGCUUAAGUAUAACUGGAAAAUAAUUCAAAAUGGAAAUGGAUGCAAGCUCCAUCUGGGUGGGGCGUUAAAUGCAAUUAGCUGCAGCUACAUUAUUUGUGACAGGCUUUAUACUGCAAAGUUAUAUUAUUAUUCGAGCUAUGCGAGUAAAUUGUCUA